AUUUCAAGCUCUUCUGUGUCUAGAGGAAGAGCUACCCCGUGACCGGCUUAGAGAACUGGAAGAGGCCGCAACCUUUCUCCUGCUUGAAGCUGGAGGAUGGAUGGAGUCUGGAGCCCUGGAGCGUGGGACACUGUUUCGCUGUGGUUGGUGGUGGCGACAGAGCAGUAGGAGAGCGCCCGGCAGCGGGAGCUUCUCCUGCUGGGCUGGAGGACUAGGAGAAGGAAGAGGCACUGCCACAUGCUGGAGGCUGGAACCUGUGCCACCGUGGCUGGCCUGGCUCUGGUUGGUUCGCCUCGCUGUGGUUGGUGGUGACGUCGGAGACUGCAGCUCGGUCACAGUGGUAGAAAUGUGAUGGGGUAGGUGAGUUUCCCGGGGCUGCCCUGCACGCCUCUGGGGGCAAGGGUUGGGUGUCCUACUGGGGCUCACUGCUAGAGGCUACCCUGCCUGUGGCAGUGGUCUGGUUGGGGGCACUCUCCGGGGUGGCAUUGCUGGUGGUGGGGCAGGUUGGCUGGCUAUCUGGGGCUAUACUGCCUGCGGUGGCAGGGGUGGUCGGGGAAAGCAGAUUGUGUACACUAGCGUAUACUGCCGGUGGCUGGGGAAGGAUUAGGGGCGCUAUCUUCUGCUGCACUGCCAGCGGCAGGGGGUGGGUUGGGUGGAGUUAUCCAGGGCUACAAUGCUGGCAGUCGGGGGUGGUUUAGGGACGUUGUUGGAUGCUGCACUGCCUGGGGCGUUGUUGGGUGCUGACUCGGGGUGGUGCGCCAUCAAGAGCUGAACUGUCCGUGGCGGGGUGGGAGGAGGUGGGUUUGGGAUGGUAUCUAGUGCAGCAACUCCCGUGGCUGGGUCAGAUUUGGGGCACUGUUGGGUGGUACACUCCCUGCAGUGUGGGGGGAGUGCUUUGGGGGAGGUAUUGGGGUUACAUUGCCUGAAACUAGGGUGUGUUGGAUGUGCUAUCCGGGGGCUACACUGCUAGUGGCAGGGGUCAGAUUAGGGGUGCUGUGGGGGCUACACUGCCAGCGGUGUUGGCGAGCUGAGGUGGCGGCAGCGGCAGCGACAGUAGUGGCCGCCUCUUUCCUUCUGGUGGUCUCCAGGUAAGGGAUCGUUCUUCUAUUCCCGGACUCCAGACUCUAGAAGGCGAUCUUCUCCUGCUCGUGCUAGAUUGCACGGCAGGGCUCCCACACCCACUGUGGUUUCCCGGCACGCCCUCAUGCUCUGUGUUGCGGAGACCACCUGGGACUACCAGGCAGGGAGUAAUAGGCACCCACGGGGGAAGCAGGGGACAGGGCACUGUGGGUGGAGGCGUCAGGAAUGGGAACCAGCCCUUGGGUGGGGAGGGCUGGCUGGUUCUGAGUUUCUCCUACUCGGGCUCCCUGAGGAGGGCAGCCCUGGUGGGCCCAGCAAUUCCUGGUCAGCUGGAGUUGGCCAGGGGCCGGUUUCAGUGAAGGCAUUCACUCCCACCCCAGACCCCAGUUCCUGGCCAGCUUUUGCCAGAAGGAGAGGCUGGACUUUGGAAGGUGGAUGUGAGUGCCUUCAAUGAAACUGAUGCCUGCCACCCAGUCACCAGCGUGACAAGGUGAGGCUCUAACGGUUCCACUGUCUGAAUCCUGAUUUGGGCUUUUCUGGCUUUGCCUGCCCAGCUACUCCAAGCCAGGCUGAAGGAGGAGAAGGCGAGGAGUCGCCUGUGGUAGGGUCGAGCCUGCAGAUGACGUGGUUCUGCAGCUUGCCUCAUGCGGUUGGUGGUGGCGAUGGAGACCACAGAUCGACCGGAGCGGGAGGAGGGCACCCACGGGGGCCAGGUGGUAGGAGCUGGUAGGGUGGGCUGGUACAUUGAGGGCGACAGUGGUUGUAUUGGCAUUGGCGCUAGUGGUGGUAGCAGUAGGAAGUCUGGGGGCCGGGAAGGGGGAAUAGGAGCACUGCAGGGCCCAUCCCACUCUGGGGUGGGGAGGAACCUGUGGGUGCUGUAACACAGGCUUCGGUGGCAGUGGUGGUGAUAUACCUAGGGCAAAGAAGAGUUCUCCCCCUUUCUCCUGCAAUCUCUGGAGGGUGCCCUCCUGCUGGUGCCUGAGCUAGGCGUGAGUGGCAGCAUUGUCUCAUUCUUAACAAAAUUUAGGGGAUGACUAUUUGUGUAUCCUUUUGCUUGUUUUUUGUUGUGAUAGUCUUUGAGUUACUCAAAUUUUAUGAAUCGAGAAGGGGAUAAGAGGUAUUAUAGGCCUUCUAAUUCCCAUACCUGUUCUUUUUCCUUUCUUCCGCUGUGUGUUUUCUUCUCAUUUUCUUGUUCCUCUUCAUUUUCUUUUGCUACUGCUUCUAUUUCAUGUUUGUAUUCUUGUUUCUUCUCCUGUUUUUGUUUUCUUUCUCCUCCCUGUAAUCACCAUGAUUUAUAAUUCUACACUUGUUUAAUUGUGUCAUAUGUAUUUCUUUUAUAGCUCAUAAUUUCUAGGAGAACUAGUCAGCCUUGGGUAUCUGCAGUGCCUGGCACAAUGUAAAUUUUAAAUGAAUGAACAUAAAUAAAUUGUAUUUCCACAAUUUUGAAUCUUGGUAUAGUGGAAAGAAUAUCACUCUGGAGGUCAAGGGGCUGUAGUUCUUGUCUUCUCCAUGAAUAUUCUUUAUGUGCCGCUUCUACCAUCUGUGAAAUGAGGGAUGGGAGGGGGAGCUUGAGGAAGUGGUAUUAGAUGAUCAUUAAUAGUUCUGUCAGCAUAUUCUUCUAGGGUUUUAUGAAUGUUAUAAUUGCAUUUUAGACCGUAAUAACCAAACAUUACAUAUUGAUAUAAUUUUUUAUGUAAGUGGUACAUGAUCAGCAUUGUCCACAUUUACAAUCGAUGGAGGAACAAUGAAAUUCAGUGUUACGUUAAUGGACAACUGGUAUCUUAUGGUGAUAUGGCUUGGCAUGUUAACACAAAUGAUAGCUAUGACAAGUGCUUUCGUGGUUCAUCAGAAACUGCUGAUGCAAAUAGCGUAUUCUGUGCUAAACCUGUUGCCAUUCAGUGAAGCACUCAACCCAGCACAGAUAUUUGCAAUUCAUCAGUUAGGACCUAGAUAUAAGGUAGUAAUAACUGUAAUUUUAUAAAUUCUAGAGAGCGUUUUAGAUGUAAAAUGUGAUGUAAUAUAACUUUUAGUGAAAAUCUUUCUUUAAUACAGUUUAAGAGUCAUUUCUAUUUUUUGGAAUGUAGUCAGUUUUUAUUAUAUGUUUCUUUUCGGUUCAAAGGUGCUUUUUUCUCAACUUUUUUUAUAAACUUUUUUAUUCUUCAGAAUAUUUUCUAAUAUUGAUAGCAUGCCUU
rnacentral:lncRNA from 1 species